GACGAACGCUGGCGGCGUGCUUAACACAUGCAAGUCGAACGGAAAGGCCCUGCUUUUGUGGGGUGCUCGAGUGGCGAACGGGUGAGUAACACGUGAGUAACCUGCCCUUGACUUUGGGAUAACUUCAGGAAACUGGGGCUAAUACCGGAUAGGAGCUCCUGCUGCAUGGUGGGGGUUGGAAAGUUUCGGCGGUUGGGGAUGGACUCGCGGCUUAUCAGCUUGUUGGUGGGGUAGUGGCUUACCAAGGCUUUGACGGGUAGCCGGCCUGAGAGGGUGACCGGCCACCUUGCGACUGAGAUACGGCCCAGACUCCUACGGGACGCAGCAGUGGGGAAUAUUGCACAAUGGGCGGAAGCGUGAUGCAGCAACGCCGCGUGCGGGAUGACGGCCUUCGGGUUGUAAACCGCUUUCGCCUGUGACGAAGCGUGAGUGACGGUAAUGGGUAAAGAAGCACCGGCUAACUACGUG
rnacentral:rRNA from 1 species